rnacentral:rRNA from 1 species
UUUGGUUAAGUUAGAAAGGGCGCACGGUGGAUGCCUUGACACUAGGAGUCGAUGAAGGACGGGACUAACGCCGAUAUGCUUCGGGGAGCUGUAAGUAAGCUUUGAUCCGAAGAUUUCCGAAUGGGGAAACCCACCAUACGUAAUGGUAUGGUAUCCUUAUCUGAAUACAUAGGGUAAGGAAGACAGACCCAGGGAACUGAAACAUCUAAGUACCUGGAGGAAGAGAAAGCAAAUGCGAUUUCCUGAGUAGCGGCGAGCGAAACGGAACAUAGCCCAAACCAAGAGGCUUGCCUCUUGGGGUUGUAGGACAUUCUAUACGGAGUUACAAAGGAACGAGGUAGACGAAGCGACCUGGAAAGGUCCGUCGUAGAGGGUAACAACCCCGUAGUCGAAACUUCGUUCUCUCUUGAAUGUAUCCUGAGUACGGCGGAACACGUGAAAUUCCGUCGGAAUCUGGGAGGACCAUCUCCCAAGGCUAAAUACUCCCUAGUGAUCGAUAGUGAACCAGUACCGUGAGGGAAAGGUGAAAAGCACCCCGGAAGGGGAGUGAAAGAGAUCCUGAAACCGUGUGCCUACAAAUAGUCAGAGCCCGUUAACGGGUGAUGGCGUGCCUUUUGUAGAAUGAACCGGCGAGUUACGAUCCCGUGCGAGGUUAAGCUGAAGAGGCGGAGCCGCAGCGAAAGCGAGUCUGAAUAGGGCGUUUAGUACGUGGUCGUAGACCCGAAACCAGGUGAUCUACCCAUGUCCAGGGUGAAGUUCAGGUAACACUGAAUGGAGGCCCGAACCCACGCACGUUGAAAAGUGCGGGGAUGAGGUGUGGGUAGCGGAGAAAUUCCAAUCGAACCUGGAGAUAGCUGGUUCUCCCCGAAAUAGCUUUAGGGCUAGCCUUAAGUGUAAGAGUCUUGGAGGUAGAGCACUGAUUGGACUAGGGGUCCUCAUCGGAUUACCGAAUUCAGUCAAACUCCGAAUGCCAAUGACUUAUCCUUAGGAGUCAGACUGCGAGUGAUAAGAUCCGUAGUCAAAAGGGAAACAGCCCAGACCGCCAGCUAAGGUCCCAAAGUGUGUAUUAAGUGGAAAAGGAUGUGGAGUUGCUUAGACAACUAGGAUGUUGGCUUAGAAGCAGCCACCAUUUAAAGAGUGCGUAAUAGCUCACUAGUCGAGUGACUCUGCGCCGAAAAUGUACCGGGGCUAAAUACACCACCGAAGCUGCGGAUUGAUACCGAAUGGUAUCAGUGGUAGGGGAGCGUUCUAAGGACAGUGAAGUCAGACCGGAAGGACUGGUGGAGUGCUUAGAAGUGAGAAUGCCGGUAUGAGUAGCGAAAGACGGGUGAGAAUCCCGUCCACCGAAUGCCUAAGGUUUCCUGAGGAAGGCUCGUCCGCUCAGGGUUAGUCAGGACCUAAGCCGAGGCCGACAGGCGUAGGCGAUGGACAACAGGUUGAUAUUCCUGUACCACCUCUUUAUCGUUUGAGCAAUGGAGGGACGCAGAAGGAUAGAAGAAGCGUGCGAUUGGUUGUGCACGUCCAAGCAGUUAGGCUGAUAAGUAGGCAAAUCCGCUUAUCGUAAAGGCUGAGCUGUGAUGGGGAAGCUCCUUAUGGAGCGAAGUCUUUGAUUCCCCGCUGCCAAGAAAAGCUUCUAGCGAGAUAAAAGGUGCCUGUACCGCAAACCGACACAGGUAGGCGAGGAGAGAAUCCUAAGGUGUGCGAGAGAACUCUGGUUAAGGAACUCGGCAAAAUGACCCCGUAACUUCGGGAGAAGGGGUGCUUUCUUAACGGAAAGCCGCAGUGAAUAGGCCCAAGCGACUGUUUAGCAAAAACACAGCUCUCUGCGAAGCCGUAAGGCGAAGUAUAGGGGGUGACACCUGCCCGGUGCUGGAAGGUUAAGGAGAGGGGUUAGCGUAAGCGAAGCUCUGAACUGAAGCCCCAGUAAACGGCGGCCGUAACUAUAACGGUCCUAAGGUAGCGAAAUUCCUUGUCGGGUAAGUUCCGACCCGCACGAAAGGUGUAACGAUUUGGGCACUGUCUCAACCAGAGACUCGGUGAAAUUAUAGUACCUGUGAAGAUGCAGGUUACCCGCGACAGGACGGAAAGACCCCGUGGAGCUUUACUGUAGCCUGAUAUUGAAUUUUGGUACAGUUUGUACAGGAUAGGCGGGAGCCUUUGAAACCGGAGCGCUAGCUUCGGUGGAGGCGCUGGUGGGAUACCGCCCUGACUGUAUUGAAAUUCUAACCUACGGGUCUUAUCGACCCGGGAGACAGUGUCAGGUGGGCAGUUUGACUGGGGCGGUCGCCUCCUAAAGUGUAACGGAGGCGCCCAAAGGUUCCCUCAGAAUGGUUGGAAAUCAUUCGUAGAGUGUAAAGGCAUAAGGGAGCUUGACUGCGAGACCUACAAGUCGAGCAGGGACGAAAGUCGGGCUUAGUGAUCCGGUGGUUCCGCAUGGAAGGGCCAUCGCUCAACGGAUAAAAGCUACCCCGGGGAUAACAGGCUUAUCUCCCCCAAGAGUCCACAUCGACGGGGAGGUUUGGCACCUCGAUGUCGGCUCAUCGCAUCCUGGGGCUGUAGUCGGUCCCAAGGGUUGGGCUGUUCGCCCAUUAAAGCGGUACGCGAGCUGGGUUCAGAACGUCGUGAGACAGUUCGGUCCCUAUCCGUCGUGGGCGUAGGAAAUUUGAGAGGAGCUGUCCUUAGUACGAGAGGACCGGGAUGGACGCACCGCUGGUGUACCAGUUGUUCUGCCAAGGGCAUAGCUGGGUAGCUAUGUGCGGAAGGGAUAAGUGCUGAAAGCAUCUAAGCAUGAAGCCCCCCUCAAGAUGAGAUUUCCCAUAGCGUAAGCUAGUAAGAUCCCUGAAAGAUGAUCAGGUUGAUAGGUUCGAGGUGGAAGCAUGGUGACAUGUGGAGCUGACGAAUACUAAUAGAUCGAGGACUUAACCAUAUAA